UUAUUUACUACUCAAUUAAAUUUAAUAAGCCUAUUCUCUCUUGGCGUAAUCACGUGGAAUGGGUUCACUUUCACUGUUAACAAGUGACAGCACAUGUAAAAUAUUGUCUACCAGGGAAAUUCAUUGAACACUUAGUGUUCAGACUGUGUUUUUGUGUCUGGUUCCCUAAGCACCACUGCAGUGACACAAAAUAAUAGACUUUCAGCAGAAGAAGUUUUGGAAAAUAUACUGCAUAAGCCAUUUAGAUGCAGUGAGUCAUUCUUAUUACUUGGGUUAGUGGAAUCCCUUUCAAAAUGCAAGUUCCUAAUACAAACAAAGAUUGAAAUUUGCGAGCAGGCAUUUUUAAGAAUAAGUAGUCUCAGGACUGAUAAUAUUAACUCCCUUAUGCACAUCAGGUAGGACUUUAGUAUGACAGAUACUAGAAAUGUACAAAGUGAAGUUAAAAGGUAACUCCUAGCAGCAUAUCGUAAUCUUAUUCCCUGGAUUCUCUAAUGAGAUGGGUGUUUCUACUUUGCUGUUGCCUUUUUGAAUAGUUCAAUUCUAGCGUUAGUACUGCUGUGUGGGAGGGAGUAUGUGUGAACAGAGUAAGAGUUGUGACAAUCAAGUCAUAGAAUAAAUGCUUGGAAAUUUUAGAAUCAUGUAAACAGCUUGUGAAUUGAGUAUACAUUCCCAGUGCUCUCAGUCUCACUCAUCCUUCUAUCCACAUGUGUGGAAUGUUCUAGGACUCCGUGGCUUUUGAGGAUGUGGCUGUGAACUUUACCCAGCAGGAAUGGGCUUUGCUAGAUUCUUCUCAGAAGAAUCUCUACAGAGAAGUGAUGCAGGAAACCUACAGGAACCUGGCUUCUGUAGAAAUCAUAUGGCACAGAGACUGCAUGAAAGCAAAGAAGGUAGUCAGUAUGGACAAGUUGUCAGCCACAUUCCAAAUCUUGAUCUGAAUGAGAACAUUUCUACUGGAUUAAAAUAAUGUGAAUGCAGUAUUUGUGGAAAAGUCUUUGUACAUCAUUCCCUCCUUAAUAGGCACAUCCUAGCUCACUCAGGAUACAAACCAUAUGGACAGAAGCAAUAUAAAUGUGAACAGUGUGGGAAACUCUGUUUCUGUUCCAGGUGUUAGAAGACACAGGAUAAUGCACAGUGGAAAUCCAGCUUAUAAAUGUACGAUAUGUGGGAAAGCUUUUCAUUUUCUCAAUUCAGUUGAAAGACAUCAGAGAACUCACACAGGAGAAAAACCCUAUAAAUGUAAACAAUGUGGUAAAGCGUUCACUGUUUCCGGUUCUUGUCUAAUACAUGGACGAACUCACACUGGAGAGAAACCCUACGAAUGUAAGGAAUGUGGGAAAACACACAGAUUUUCUUGUUUUAAGAUGCAUGAAAGGACUCACACUGGAGAGAGAUGUACCAAAUGUGAUAAAGCCUUCAGCUGUUCCACUUCCCUUCAUGACCAUGGAAGCAUUCAUACUGGAGAGAGACCCUAUGAAUGUAAACAAUGUGGCAAAGCC